rnacentral:rRNA from 1 species
UACAGAGGUCUCAAGCGUUGUUCGGAUUCAUUGGGCGUAAAGGGUGCGUAGGCGGCGCGGUAAGUCGGAUGUGAAAUCUCGGAGCUUAACUCCGAAACUGCAUUCGAUACUGCCGUGCUUGAGGACUGGAGAGGAGACUGGAAUUUACGGUGUAGCGGUGAAAUGCGUAGAUAUCGUAAGGAAGACCAGUGGCGAAGGCGGGUCUCUGGACAGUUCCUGACGCUGAGGCACGAAGGCCCAGGGGGGAGCAAAACGGGG